AUGCUCACUUCAGCAGCACAUAUACUAAAAUAGGAAUGCUACAGAUAUUAGGCUGGUCCUUGCCCAGGAAUGACAUGCAAAUUCAUGAAGCAUUCCAUAUUUUC
ensembl:snRNA U6 U6 spliceosomal RNA